GCGCGAAUGGAUGAGUAACAUGAGAAGAUAUUUGUUGUUUCAAAUGAUCUACAAGUAUAUGAUAAUUGGUUGAUAAGAAGUAUAAAAAGAUGUCCACAAUCACAUACCACAAACGGCCUCUAAAUUAUUUAGAAUACAAGAUAAAACUUUCGAUCUCAAAAGUUCGAAAUUAUUAACUAAUUGUAGGUUAAAAAUCAAAAGUAAAAAAUGUAAUCAUAAUUACUGUAUAGGAAAGGUAGUUUGCAGAUAAGUUGAUCUGAUGUAGGACUAGGUUCCAGUAAAAAAGCAACUGAAGCAUUCUGGUUCCCAGUGAGGAUAACUUGAUGAAUGUCCUCCAAUUGCGUUGCUAUCACAUUAACUGAUUGAUUCAACAAUUCUCCUGUGCCUCACAAGUUAGAGUGUCUUUUUUUUCGCACAAAGUUUUCCAUUCAAGUCUUUUCAAUUGUCGACUCUUCAUAAUUUUUCCACAGGAGCUAAUUAAUAGGAGGUUAUUAAUUUAGUAAAUUGCAAAUUAGCUAGCAAAAUUUCUCCGUGGCCUGACACCCGCAGGGCUAUAAAAAGAGCCUGCUGUGAGUUAUGGUCCCCUGAACCCGAAAUGGCACCCGCAUGCGAACCCUGGUGGAAGCUAUACUCCUCACGGUUGUGGAACCUAUUACAGGUGCCGUGAACCCCCUGCAGCUGGGAAACCAUAGAUAGAUACCUUUGAAGAAACUGCAUGCGUAUUCCUGAAGUGAUUUUAACUAGUUGGAAUGAUAUUUGCAUAACGGUAUGAGAUCAUAUAAUAAAAGUGAGAGAAAAUAUGAAAAGGAAAUAAUGGAAUAUGAGCCUGUGAGGUCUUGUAUAUCAAAUAACAUGCCUGUACUGAAGGCCUUGUCUCCUGUGUUGAAAUACUACGUAUAUUUCCAAUGAAAUUAAUAUUAUAUUAUAUGUGUUUGAUGGA